rnacentral:rRNA from 1 species
GACGAACGCUGGCGGCGUGCUUAACACAUGCAAGUCGAACGGAAAGGCCCUGCUUUUGUGGGGUGCUCGAGUGGCGAACGGGUGAGUAACACGUGAGUAACCUGCCCUUGACUUUGGGAUAACUUCAGGAAACUGGGGCUAAUACCGGAUAGGAGCUCCUGCUGCAUGGUGGGGGUUGGAAAGUUUCGGCGGUUGGGGAUGGACUCGCGGCUUAUCAGCUUGUUGGUGGGGUAGUGGCUUACCAAGGCUUUGACGGGUAGCCGGCCUGAGAGGGUGACCGGCCACAUGGGGACUGAGAUACGGCGCAGACUGCUACGGGAGGCAGCAGUGGGGAAUAUGGCACAAUGGGCGGAAGCCUGAUGCAGCAACGCCGCGUGCGGGAUGACGGCCUUCGGGUUGUAAACCGCUUUCGCCUGUGACGAAGCGUGAGUGACGGUAAUGGGUAAAGAAGCACCGGCUAACUACGUG